GCCUGCGGUCCUCCCCGCCGGGCGCAGGUCUCAGCCGCCCCUGUUGAACCACAGCCACCUCCUCCCCCCACCGGCCUUCCCAUCUGCGCUCCUCCCAGGGACCAGCUGCUGGGAGGCUCCGAGCGACUUCGAGGGCACUCCAAGCCCUUGGCUCAAAACCUGGGCAGCUCGGGGCCUGCGCCUCCCUGUGGCAGAAACCUACCGGACGCGGAGAGCAGCGCUGAGGAUCUGGGGCCGAGCCCUGAAAGGGAGAACUGCGAUAAGGCCCCGCCGCUUGUGCGGUGUGGGGAGGGCGCAAUCAGCUGUCCGGGGCCACCCGCGGGAUCGGAGCCCUAGGGCCCAGAGUUUGUGAACGAAGGCUGGAGGCCGCGCCGGGGCUUUUCUGGGGGAAGCGGAAGAAGGGAGGCCGGUGGCCAGGACUCUCUGCUCAGGGGCUAGGGAAUCGAGGGGCAGCGACCCCAGCGACUCCCCCACCCCGUGCUUACUCUGCAGCUGUUGCUCCUUGAGCUGUGCCGCCACGUCGCGCACGUCUGCCCUUUUCAGGGUCUUUCGCGCCACCUCUAGUGCGAGCUGCGGCCCGUAGAAAUGGAUCAGCUGCUCUGCAAGGUCCACAGCGUCCGAGCCCUCCAGCCGCCCCCGAGGGAUGCUGCGGCCAUCCAGUGGCGCGUCGCGCAGCUUGUGGCAAAAGCGCUUCAGCUGUUCCUGGCUCAGGUCCUCCAGCGCAACCAAGAGCAGCUCGCGGGCGGCAGCAGCUAGGGGUUCCAUGCUGGGAACCGCGCACGAGGUUAGCACGCGUGACACUCCCCGGUGACCUCGGCCCCUCCCCGCCACUCCGACCCCGGCGCAGGGAGCCCGCGAUGGGCAGGGGCUUAGACGAGCUCCCAGCUCACCAGAUGGCUCCAGGCCAAAGCUGGGUAGCGCUCUACGGGGAGGGUCGUCUUCCCCUCUAGGACCCCGAUCGGGGGCUUUGCUCCGCGGCGUUCCAAGGCUUUGGCGCUGCCUGCAUCGCGGUUUGGUGGUGAAGUGGGGCCACUCCCGGGCGGGCACUGGCCGCCGGUGACUUAAGCGCUAGGGGGCGCCAUCCUGCUCCGCACCUCCCUCCUCGUUCCAAGUCAAGCCUCCCAGGUCACAUUCUCUGAGAACCCGUGGGGUGUGGCACUGAAGCGUGGCCGUGAGCAAGGUCGACAGCGUGGAGGAGAUGGUGGUUCAGAACACGACCUUAACCUUAACAAGUCCUCAAGACAGGCUAAAUUCUGAAGGCGGGGGUGAGGGAGAACCCGAGACAAAGGAGGACCUCACGGUGUCAUCAGGGAGAGGAAGGCUGUCACCAAGGAGCCGGGAGAUCAUGGGACAGGGAAGAGCUCUGUGGCCUUCUGAGCCAGGCUCGAGCCGAGUGAGGGGAAGAGGUUUGGAUGUGAGGAGUGCGUGUGGCUGAUGGGGGCCACGUGAGAGCCCAUCAGUGUGGGCUUCUGCUGUCUUCCUGUGUGAAAAGUGGGGGUGUGUGUACCUCUGCGUCUGUCUGUGUGACCACCUUAAUGCUGUGUUUGUACCCGUGGGAGGCUAACUAGUAUCCCCCGGAGAUAUCGGGUCCUAACCCCUGAAACCUGUGCAUGUCCACUCCUAAGCCAAAAGGGGCUUUGCAGAUGAGGUUAAAUUCAGGAGAGGUGAUCCUGGACUGUUAUUAUUAAAUCUCAUCAUGAGGGUCACAGGAUGGAGACAGAGGGAGGUUUGGCACAGAAGAAGGCAGCGUGGCACAGCAGGAUGCUAGGCUGUCGGCUUUGAAUGUAGAGGAAGGGGCCGCCUGCCGUGGAAGGCAGCCCUGGAAGCUGAAGUGCUGCUGGGAAAGGCCGCCAUUCUCCCUGCAGCCCCCAGAGGGAGCAUAGCCGAGCCAAUACCUGGAUCUCAGCCCUGUGAGACCCACUUUGGACCUCUGACCCCCAGAAGUAUAAGAGAAUAAAUGUGUGUUGUUUUAA